UACGGAGGGUGCAAGCGUUAUCCGGAUUCACUGGGUUUAAAGGGUGCGUAGGUGGGCUGGUAAGUCUGUGGUGAAAUCCCCGAGCUUAACUUGGGAACUGCCAUGGAUACUAUCAGUCUUGAAUACCGUGGAGGUCAGCGGAAUAUGUCAUGUAGCGGUGAAAUGCAUAGAUAUGACAUAGAACACCCAUUGCGAAGGCAGCUGACUACGCGGAGAUUGACGCUGAGGCACGAAAGCGUGGGGAUCAAACAGG
rnacentral:rRNA from 1 species